GAUGAACGCUCGCUACAGGCUUAACACAUGCAAGUCGAGGGGAAACGACAUCGAAAGCUUGCUUUUGAUGGGCGUCGACCGGCGCACGGGUGAGUAACGCGUAUCCAAUCUGCCCACCACUUGGGGAUAACCUUGCGAAAGUAAGACUAAUACCCAAUGAUAUCUCUAGAAGACAUCUGAAAGAGAUUAAAGAUUUAUCGGUGAUGGAUGGGGAUGCGUCUGAUUAGCUUGUUGGCGGGGUAACGGCCCACCAAGGCAACGAUCAGUAGGGGUUCUGAGAGUAAGGUCCCCCACAUUGGAACUGAGACACGGUCCAAACUCCUACGGGAGGCAGCAGUGAGGAAUAUUGGUCAAUGGACGAGAGUCUGAACCAGCCAAGUAGCGUGCAGGAAGACGGCCCUAUGGGUUGUAAACUGCUUUUAGAAGGGAAUAAAGUGAGUCUCGGGAGACUUUUUGCAUGUACCUUAUGAAUAAGGACCGGCUAAUUCCGUG
rnacentral:rRNA from 1 species